UUUCUUCCUCAUUACCAUCACUACUUCAUCCUCCUCAUUAUCAUCAUCAUCACCAUUAUCUCCAUCACCAUGGCAUGGAGCUGACCAAGAGUUCUUAAAGACUUUCCUGGUGGAGUAUAAUUGAUGACAAAGCCAUCUACAAUGAAAAAACUUUGAAUAUAGACCCAGAAAUAGACCAUGUUUUUGCUGUUAGAGGACUAGUUAGUGCAAAGACUCAUCACCAAAAGUUUGUCUCAGAUCAUUUUUCCCUAACAGAACAACUUGAUGUAGACAAUUUGCUCUGACAUAGAAGAAUCAGAAUCUGACUGGCAGGAGAGUUCUUAAUGGAAAAAAAAGCAUAGUCUUCCUCAACAAUAGCAUUGCCCUCCUCAACGUCCCUUUAUUUGAUCAGAUGCAAAUCCCCAGCAUGAUCCUGGUUCAUGUGGGAAACUCUUUCUCAGAACAAGAAAGAGAGCAGGGCUACCCCUCAACUUGGUCUUUCAGGAAGAACAACUCAACAAGAUUGUGGUGGGAAUUGAACAGCUAUCAGUAGGAAGGUGCUAUGAACCGAACCAUGUAGACAAGAGGAGCAAUUAGAUGGAGAGACUACAUCCAAAGGAAUGUUGCAGACCUGAGGACCGCCUCUGCUCAAAGGGAAUCUCUGUGGUCAUUCAAACAGGACCUCACAUGGAUGACAGAAUUGUCCAUCCCAUUUUUGGACAACUGAAGCUUGAAUGUUCACCGUGCAGUGAGUCCCAUCACAUUGAAAUAUCAUUAUUUGGGGGUAUUUUCAGCGAGAAAACCACCCAUGAAGGUCGAUCACUAUCCUGCAAUUUAGAGUUGAGAGAAUGGACUGGGACCUCUCAUUGAGAGGGUGAGAGAUUUGCCCAGGUUCUCUCAGUCAGCCCAUGUCAGUGGUGAGACUUGACCCCAGGACUUCCUGUUUCCAAGACCUGAAUUCUUGUGCACUCUAGCACAAUUUCUAACCUCUUAACUCUUUCUUGAGAUCACAUACUACUCUUUGAGCCAAAUUUAGAAUCAUU
rnacentral:lncRNA from 1 species